GGGCGUGUGGCUCAGUUGGUAGAGCGUUCGCUUAGCAUAUUCGAGCAGAAAAUCGAGGAGGAGAUUUCACAUCUUCCUUCUUCCACCCUGCCUUCGAAAUUCCUGCGAAAGGUCCUGGGUUCGAUUCCCAGCCCGUCCA